rnacentral:rRNA from 1 species
GAUGAACGCUGGCGGCGUGCCUAAUACAUGCAAGUCGAGCGAACGGACGAGAAGCUUGCUUCUCUGAUGUUAGCGGCUGACGGGUGAGUAACACGUGGAUAACCUACCUAUAAGACUGGGAUAACUUCGGGAAACCGGAGCUAAUACCGGAUGAUAUUUUGAACCGCAUGGUUCAAAAGUGAAAGACGGUCUUGCUGUCACUUAUAGAUGGAUCCGCGCUGCAUUAGCUAGUUGGUAAGGUAACGGCUUACCAAGGCAACGAUGCAUAGCCGACCUGAGAGGGUGAUCGGCCACACUGGAACUGAGACACGGUCCAGACUCCUACGGGAGGCAGCAGUAGGGAAUCUUCGGCAAUGGGCGAAAGCCUGACGGAGCAACGCCGCGUGAGUGAUGAAGGUCUUCGGAUCGUAAAACUCUGUUAUUAGGGAAGAACAUAUGUGUAAGUAACUGUGCACAUCUUGACGGUACCUAAUCAGAAAGCCACGGCUAACUACGUG